AACGCGAAGAACCUUACCUGGGCUCGAAAUGUAGUGGAAUGGGGUGGAAACAUCCCCGUCUCGCAAGAGACUGCUAUAUAGGUGCUGCAUGGCUGUCGUCAGCUCGUGUCGUGAGAUGUUGGGUUAAGUCCCGCAACGAGCGCAACCCUUAUCCCUAGUUGCCAUCGGGUCAAGCCGGGCACUCUAGUGAAACCGCCCAGGAUAACCUGGAGGAAGGUGGGGAUGACGUCAAGUCCUCAUGGCCUUUAUGUCCAGGGCUACACACGUGCUACAAUGGACGGUACAAAGGGCUGCCAACCCGCGAGGGGGAGCCAAUCCCAAAAAACCGUUCUCAGUUCGGAUUGCAGGCUGCAACUCGCCUGCAUGAAGCUGGAAUCGCUAGUAAUGGCGGAUCAGAACGCCGCCGUGAAUACGUUCCCGGGCCUUGUACACACCGAGACGUA
rnacentral:rRNA from 1 species